rnacentral:rRNA from 1 species
UUGAAAGUUAAUUUUAGGUCUUACCUGCCCACUGAGUAUUUAAAUGGCCGCAGUAUUUUGACUGUGCUAAGGUAGCAUAAUCAUUAGUUUUUUAAUUGAAAGCUAGUAUGAAGGGUUUGAUGAAAAAAAAACUGUCUUUUAAUAAUUAAAUUAAAAUUUUAUUAUUAAGUUAAAAAGCUUAAAUUUUUUUAAAAGACGAGAAGACCCUAUAGAGUUUUAUUUUUUAUAUUUAUAUAAUAUUUAGAAUUUAAAAUUAUAUAUUUUAUAAGAAAUUUGAUUGGGGUGAUUGAAAAAUUUAAUAAACUUUUUUUAUUUUUAUUUAUAAAUUUAUAUAUUUUUGAUCCAUAAUAAAUGAUUAUAAGAUUAAAUUACCUUAGGGAUAACAGCGUAAUUUUAUUGGAGAGUUCAAAUCGAUAAUAAAGAUUGCGACCUCGAUGUUGGAUUAAAAUUAAAUUUUGGUGUAGCAGCUAAAAGGUUAAGUCUGUUCGACUUUAAAAAUUUUACA